CUUGGAUUCCAGAAGUGUUUUGCCAUGACUGAGGUUUCACUCUCCUAGACGCAGUCCAAAAGCGUAAUGAGAGACUAUCUCGACUUCCAUUACAUUACAGAUCAACGGAGGGAUAGGAACUAUUCCUAUUUAUGUUUCAGUGGAAGGAGCAAGGAGCAUCAACAUUUCUUGGCUCAGGAUUGGCCCAAAGGUCAUUGUCCAGCCCUUUUCUUUCCAUGGACAUAAAUUUAAAAGAGGCAAAGAAAUGAGGGAAGAUGUAGAGGCAGAAUGGUGUGCAACUGCUGGUCUCAAUGACUACCAGCACCCUAGAACUGAACCCACAAGACCUUGGUGUUCCUUUCUGUCUGCUGUCUCAAAUAGAUGUGAAAC